UUUAAAAGCCGACUGAACCAAUGCCAGGUGUAGUAGAGAUCAGAAAAGAAGAUCGCCGAGAAUAUGUGAGGAAAAUGAAAGUUUCCAAACAGGCACUGCAGCAGACCCCUCCAGAGUGAUGUUCAAGCUUUACUGAUGAGUUUUAUGAAGUUCAUUAUCCAUCACACAGGAUGAAAUUUCAGUGUAAACUCCUGAAAUUCACCAGAAGCGCUAAAUAAACACAUACAGAAAUGUA